UUUGGAAAAAUUGCGUUGAAAGCUUCUUCUCCGUCUCUGCAAUGAAGCGUAGCCUUGGGUCCAAUUCCUCAGGCGGCAGUGGGAGUAGCAAGAAGUCUAAGAAGAAGAACCCUAGCAAUCAGAAAACCCUAGGCGCCGCAUGGGGCUCCGGCGCCGCUUCUCUACCUUCUUCUCGUUCCUCUCCAUUUUCGGAUUUCGGAAGUUACAUGGAAGUGAAAAAUCGGAAACUUCAGAACCAAUUUGAAAACGAGGCUUCUACUGGUGUUUCGGAUUCUGAGAAACUUAUCUUCCAAGGCGUUUCAAUCUUUGUGGAUGGUUUCACUAUUCCUUCCCAUCAGGAACUGCGAGGUUACAUGUUGACUUAUGGUGGGAGAUUCGAGAACUACUUUUCAAGGCGUUCUGUAACACAUAUCAUCUGCAGCAACCUUCCUGAUAGCAAAGUCAAGAAUCUACGGGCAUUCAGCAGAGGGUUACCUGUUGUGAAACCCGCAUGGAUAGUGGACUCUAUCUCUGCCAACAGACUUCUGGGAUGGGUUCCUUACCAGCUAGAUCAACUGAAUCAUACCCAGCCAAAGCUGUCUGCGUUUUUUGCACCCAGAAGGCAUUCCAAUCCGCAGGUGGCUUCGUCGGUUACAUCUUCUCAGCCUGAAACUGGAUACAGUGAAGCUGAAGAAGGAAGUUCAAUUAAAGCAGGAGAUUCAGAGGAAUCAAGAGCCCACGUUGCUGAUGAAUUUGAUGGCGUUUAUACUGAGACGUCUAUUCCAGAAAUAACUGCACAAACAAGAACUGACGAUCUGAAAUCUUCUGAAGUGAAUGCAGACAUACUUGGUAGCUAUGACAACGAAGAAAAAGAACUUAGUAGUGAACUCCAGUCCACUACCAAUCUGCCUUCUGCUUCGAACAAUAAAUCCUCACAUGGAAAACCGGUUUCAACUGCUGCUGGAUCCUCUGUAAGGCGCCAUUCAACUCUCGAGGACCCCAAUUUUGUGGAAAACUACUUCAAGAAUUCAAGGCUGCAUUUUAUUGGAACAUGGAGAAACAGAUACCGUAAAAGAUUCCACGGCUCUUUUAAUGGACUUAAAUGGGCAGAUUCUGGCCAGAGUACAGCUGAAAAUGCCAAGAAGUCAACCAUUAUCCACAUCGAUUUGGAUUCCUUCUUUGUGUCAGUGGUUAUCAGGAACCGUCUUGAAUUACAAGACAAGCCCGUAGCCGUAUGCCACUCAGAUAAUCCGAAAGGAACGGCGGAAAUUUCCUCUGCAAACUAUCCAGCUAGGGCUUAUGGAGUGAAGGCAGGUAUGUUUGUAAGACAUGCCAAAGAGCUUUGCCCUCAGCUUGUUAUUGUUCCGUACAAUUUUGAAGCUUAUGAAGAGGUAGCUGAUCAGUUUUAUGACAUCCUGCAUAGGCAUUGCAGAAAAGUUCAGGCGGUAAGCUGCGAUGAAGCAUUUUUAGAUGUCUCAGAUGUGAGAUAUGUAGAACCUGAUAUCUUAGCAUCAACAAUAAGAAAAGAGAUCCUUGACACUACUGGAUGCAGUGCAAGUGCUGGGAUAGGCAGUACUAUGCUAAUGGCUCGCCUUGCUACCAGAGUUGCUAAACCAGCCGGUCAGUUUCAUAUCUCUGCUGAGAAGGUAGAGGAGUUCUUGGAUCAGCUUGCAGUCGGCACACUUCCUGGUGUAGGUUCUGUGUUGAAGGAGAAGCUGGAGAAGCAAAAUAUUCAAACAUGUGGGCAGUUACGUUUGAUAUCCAAGGAUGCUCUUCAAAAGGAUUUUGGGGUGAAAACCGGUGAGAUGCUUUGGAGUUAUAGUAGAGGACUAGACCUUCGGUCUGUUACGGCGGUGCAGGAGAGCAAGUCCAUAGGGGCGGAAGUGAAUUGGGGCGUAAGGUUUAGAGAUCAGCAAGAUGUUCAGCACUUCCUCCAAUGCCUAUGCAAGGAAGUUUCUCUGCGUCUGCAAGGAUGUGAAAUGAUAGGACGCACUUUUACUCUUAAGAUAAAAAAGAGAAAAAAAGAUGCCGGAGAACCUGCGAAGUAUAUGGGUUGUGGUGACUGUGGCAACUUUAGCCGUUCUAUCACAGUGCCUGCCGCUACUGAUGACAUAGAAGUGUUACGGAGAAUUUCAAAGAAGUUGUUUGGGUCGUUUUGCUUGGAUGUUAAGGAAGUUCGUGGGGUUGGGCUUCAGGUCUCUAAGCUUGAGGGUGCAGAUCCUUCUAAUAAAGGUUCAAAGACUCUGACAUCAUGGCUCAACUCUGCGCCUGCCUCUGUCCAAACAGAAAAAGAUGAUAAUGUCUUUGCUGCAGAAGUUAAAGAAAUCCCAGAUGGUAAGAGGCGCGAUACUGGUGGAGUUUCUAGACUCCGAGAAUGUGAUUCAGCAGAACCUUCGGUUCAGUCAGGUGAUACAAAUUCGUCCUUGCCGCCCAUGUGUCACCUUGACAUGGAAGUUCUAGAGAACCUUCCUCCAGAUCUCCUUUCGGAAUUAGAUGGAACCUACGGCGGGAAGUUGUAUGAUUUGAUUGAGAAAAAACGAGGCAAAAGAAAGAUCAACAACGAUUCUCCACACGUCUCCUUGGACGACAUGAAAGUAUCGAGUUCUGUCUCAGUUCAGAUGCACGGCUCGAGCACAUCUGGAGGAAAGGAACUUGAAGAACCUCAUGUACCUAAUGAGCGCGCCAUUGAAAUUACUGAUUUGAUGCCGUCAUCCCUUAGUCAAGUCGACGUCUCUGUGUUACAAGAAUUGCCUGAAGAGUUGAGAGCUGAUGUAUUGGAAGCAUUUCCUGUCCACCGGAGAGACCAGUCAUCAUCAUCAGAUGCUCCCAUGGAGACUUGUACGAAACAAGAUAAGGAGCCAACAUAUAUAAAUGACUCUGAGAAUGAGAUUGGAUUCUCAAGUAGCUCUCUCUGGUUCGGGAACCCUCCUUUGUGGGUAGAGAAUUUCAAAGUUAGCGGCAAUUGUACUUUGGAGAAAAUGUCAGAGAUAUACUGCAAGUUGGCUCAGUCAAGGCCGCCUUUGUUAUCCACGGUGCUCCAACGUGCUCUUUCGGAAGUUGGGAGUUUUCCUGAUGCAAGUGCCAAUGAUCUGGAGAAAACUGUUGACGAUGUGUGUGAAUUUAUUGAAGAGUACAUUGAGAUCAAGGUAGAAGGUGAUAUAGAAGAGAUAUAUCUCUGCUUCCGUUUUCUGAAAAGAUUAGCAGCAAGGAACCAACUCUUCCACCAAGUCAAUGAGAAUGUGUCUCCAUUUAUUCAGGCCUUGAUCAAUGAACACUAUGGAGGAAGCUUGAGCAUUCCUUGAAAGGUCUUUUUUCCUGAAAUAAACCAUAUGCUUCAAAUUGCUCUUUGGCUGGAUGCUACUGAAGAAUGCAUACUUGCAGAAGAAUGUGGAUCCCCAAGGGCAUCGUGGUGAGCGAAUGCACAUGAAAGUGGUUCAGACCUUAAAAAGAACAGAGCCACCACUCUUUUUUUUUUCUCUUCAUAGGAGUGUAAAUUGAAGAAACAAACAGACACACAUUGUAUUUAAUAGCACACUUUACAAGUAUAGUCUUUGCUUAUGUCGUGUAAAUUGACUACACUCUUUUAUAUAUUUGUAGCUUUAUUGUAUAAACUAAAGUUAUAUAUGAA